CCUGCUUUUUGCACAAGCAAACAGAAAGCUUAAUAUUCCGAGCUAAACAUCUGGCUUGACAGCAGGGAGCGUUCAGUUAAUGGUGGUUCAGAGGGAAUGCUGCGCUCGCAGCUGUUACUUCUUGAUCAAAUAAUUGCUGUUUCAAAUGAGGACAAUGCGGGUAACCAGGUCCCAAGCAGUCGAGGGAGCCUUCGGAGCCUGCAAGGCACAGAGCUGAGGAGAACAGCUCCUGAGGAGAGAUUCCUGACCAUGCUGCACGUCCUGAGAUCCUCUUCCUGUGGUAAGUUGCUAUGGUCCACACUGGAAGUCCACACUUUCUGGUCCAGGAGGCACCGAAAACCUAAGGGAGUCAGAAUUUCAGAGGCGAAAGCCCAGUCACAGAGCCCCUUGACUAAGCUUGUUGAGUUGCGGUGCCACGGGCUAAGAGGCUUGCAGGCCCGGACAAGGCUCCAGCAUAAGUCUGCAUGAGGUUCCUUUCUUGGAGCCUCAUGAAUCUAGAGAGUUUCACCUUGCUGUGUCUCCUCCUCUGUACAUCCCAAAGAAGAUCAGAAGGCAAUCACAGGACUGUAUCCGUUUGACUGUAUGCUGUCUGCCUUCCAUUUUCGUUUGCUACAAAAGUUAUGAUAGAAUCAGUCACCGGGUACACAUUCCACUUUUCUAUCUACAACCUCAACCUUCCCAAACCGCUGCCUUAAUUUUCAGUUUGUGACUGUGUGGAUUCAUACACUCUGCCUCUUACUCCAUUUCUUUCUUAAAGAUUGAUUGAUUGAGUGAGUGAUUGAUUUAACGAUUGAUUGAGUGAGUGAUUGAUUUAACGUAUGUGAAUUUUCAAUCUGCAUGUCAGAAGAGGGCAUCAGAUUACAUUAUAGAUGGGAACAGGCUACCAUGUGGUUGCUGGGGAUGGAACUCAGGACCUCUGGAAGAGCAGACAGUGCUCUUAACCGCUGAGCCAACUCUCCAGCUGCACCCCCACACCCCCUCUCUCCGUUUCUGAACAAUCUUGCUUUUCCUUUUCUGCUCCUUUUGGUUUGGGUUUUGUCCUUUUUCUCCGAAGAGCCAAUGAAAGCCCCAAGGGCUUGGCUUUUGAAAACGGAAAGGCAAGUCUAACUGUUCCCCUCCCUACAGUUGACUAGAAAAACAGAACAGUACUCUGCACCCAGACUCUUCUCAGAAGAGUAUAGAAAGAGUAUAUAGGUUUGCAGGCCGUGUGGUUUCUGUUGUGAGCACUCAGCUCUGCUUUGGUAAGGUGGAGGCCCGUAUAGACAACAGGUAAAUAGUCCAGUGUAGCCGUGUUCCGGUAAACGUGAAAUAACUAAAGCGAGGGGGACUGAGGCUAUUUGUUGCUUUCCUCUCUGCUGGCUUUACCUCUUGACAGACGAUGACACCACAGAGCUCACCGCUGUGACCUGAGAAGCAAGCACUCAUCCACAACAACAGGGUGUAAACUGGUUGUCAUCUUUAAUACAAACGUGUUGUCCUGGAAAUGAAUAUGUAAAUUGGCAUUCUUGUUUUUCCAGAAAACGUAAGUCUUUGUGAAUUUCCUCUGUAGAACAGAAGAACUUGAUGUCUGGAACUAGGUAAACAGUCAAAGGUCUGGCCUCAGUCUGAACCCUCCUGUAUGAAGGUAGAAGGAAAAUGUCUGCAUGGCAGGUCGAGUUAAGGCAGGCAGAGCUCUGAGGUGAGAUGGUUUGUUUCUUAGGGAUGAAUGCUUGUGGAAGGUAAGAGAAGGGAGCUGGUCGGGCAGAGGAAGGUCCAAAAGGUUUUGUCUGACAUAGCACAGAAUUCUGGGAUAAUACUAUCCCAAAUGGAUCAAACUUACACCUCCGCUAAACACUGUCACCAAAUGUCCCGAGCCCUGGGGAGAGGGAGCCUUUGGUCACCUCCGGGAAUAAACAAGCAAGCAAACAAAACCGCACAACAAGUCACUGACUGUUUACCCAGAGCCAAAUGUCAAUUCUUUCCUUGGGGGAGAUCUGGGCGGUUGAUCUUCACAACUUCUUAAGAAACCAAAGUCUGAAAGUGCAUUCUCCUGUAAGUUAUGUCAUUGACUGAGCCACCCGAUAAGGAGCUUUAGAGCAUUCAAUGAUUAAUGAUUACUUUUGUUAUUUUUAUUCUGGCCAUAUUUUUUUAUAUAUAGAAAUUUACCUUUUUUUUUAAAAGAUUUAUUUAUUUAUUUAUUUAUUACAUGUAAGUACAUUGUAGCUGUCUUCAGACACUCCAGAAGAGGGAGUCAGAUCUCGUUACGGAUGGUUGUGAGCCACCAUGUGGUUGCUGGGAUUUGAACUCUGGACCUUCAGAAGAGCAGUCGGGUGCUCUAACCCACUGAGCCACCUCACCAGCCCCUAGAAAUUUAUCUUUUACAAAAGUGAAAACACAGCAAGAUAGUCAGACUGAAUGAGAAAUCAAGUGAUUCUCUCCCACCCCUUCACCCCUAUCUAAUUUCUCCACCUGUUUCCACGCCCCAAUUCCAAGGCAGCGGACAUGUGUGGCCAUGCUCCAUGAUUACAUGGUUGUUAGUGAUUUGAACUCAGAUCUCCUUGCUCCCGCAGCCUAUAGUCACUCACUGACACAUCUUCCCAACUCUUCUACAAAGCAACUUUUGAAAAAAAGCAUCCCUCUUAAGAAUCUCCGACGCAGAGACUGGGGAGUGCUCUACCCGAGCGGGACAUACACAUCUGACCUGUGUGAGCUGGACAGCGGAUAGCAUCAGGGAAACAAUGCUUCCCGGACACAACAAGGCAGUUGCAGGUAUGGAUUCACAGGACUGUGUCAGCGUGCACAGAAUAGACAAGCUCAAUCCUGACAAAUCCUAGCGUAAGUUCCUUGUUAGUUACUUCUCUAUUGCUGUGAUAAGACACCGUGGCCAAGGCAACUUAUAGAAGAGUUUAUUUGGAGCUUACAGUUCCUGAGGGUUAGUGUCCAUGGCCUUCAUGGUAAGGGGCACAACAGCAGGCAGGCAGGAAUGGCGUUGGAGCAGUAGCUGAGAGCUCACAUCUUGAUCUACAAGCAUGAGGCAGAAAGAGUGCCAGAACAUGCUAGAAAUGGUAUGGGCUCUUGAAACCUCAAAGCCUACUCCAGAGACACAUGUCCCCCAACAAGGCCACUCCUCUAAGAGUCCCAUCAGCUGGGGACCAAGCAUUAAAAUAUAUGAACCUAUGGCGGUUAUUCACAUACAAACCACCACAGGGGGAUGGUGGCUAUGAAACCCCACCCUUAGCUGAGGCUCUGUUGGUAUUUGGUAGCUGAUGGGAGAGGACAGGUUAGUAUUGUUUAAUGAUGAGGACCCUGGUAGGUUGACCACACACAAGGGUAGCCAUGAUUACUAAGAUUGGUUUUCCUGGAUGGGAGGAAAAGGAGGAGGAGGAGGAGGAGGAGGAGGAGGAAGAGGAGGAGAAAAGAAGAAGAAGAAGAAGAAGAAGAAGAAGAAGAAGAAGAAGAAGAAGAAGAAGAAGAAGAAGAAGAAGAAGAAGAAGAAGAAAACUCAAUGUUGGUUGGGAAGGUGAGGGAGGGCGGAGUAGUUGUAGGAGAGGCUUGGAGAAGGG
rnacentral:lncRNA from 1 species